GAAAGAAAACAAAAAAGAAGAGAGGAGAAGUCUAGAAUAAGAGAGAAGAGAAACUUAAGCUAGAAAGAGCAAAGAGCUACGGUUUUGGGAGGAGGAAAAGCCCAAAAUGUUACUAAACAGCCACGAAGUUUCAGUCGCGCUAGAAGAGCUUCCGAAGCGAGUUUUGGCGAGUUUUGGACAAGAUUUUUUUGGAAGGCCAAGAGUUAAGUGGUAUUGACUAAGGAAGCGGACAAGGUACACCCAGACGAGUAGAAGCUAUUAUAGAAAAUGUUCCAGCAGGGUUAGCAACUCCACUUGUUCCUAGAGUGCUACUGAGUCAGAGUAUAUGCGCUAUGAUGUUUCGUUCGAAGUUAGAGACUUUGCAGACAGAGUCGUGGAUAUAGAGUGUCAGCUUUGUAAGCGGC